rnacentral:rRNA from 1 species
AGUGAACGCUGGCGGUAGGCCUAACACAUGCAAGUCGAACGGCAGCACAGGAGAGCUUGCUCUCUGGGUGGCGAGUGGCGGACGGGUGAGGAAUACAUCGGAAUCUACUUUUUCGUGGGGGAUAACGUAGGGAAACUUACGCUAAUACCGCAUACGACCUACGGGUGAAAGCAGGGGAUCUUCGGACCUUGCGCGAUUGAAUGAGCCGAUGUCGGAUUAGCUAGUUGGCGGGGUAAAGGCCCACCAAGGCGACGAUCCGUAGCUGGUCCGAGAGGAUGAUCCGCGACACUGGAACUGAGACACGGUCCAGACUCCUACGGGAGGCAGCGGUGGGGAAUAUUGGACAAUGGGCGCAAGCCUGAUCCAGCCAUACCGCGUGGGUGAAGAAGGCCUUCGGGUUGUAAAGCCCUUUUGCUGGGAAAGAAAUCCAGCUGGCUAAUACCCGGUUGGGAUGACGGUACCCAAGGAAUAAGCACCGGCUAACUUCGUGCCAGCCGCCGCCGUAA